rnacentral:rRNA from 1 species
ACUGGUGUUCGGGUUGUCAUGCCAAUGGCACUGCCCGGUAGCUAAAUGCGGAAGAGAUAAGUGCUGAAAGCAUCUAAGCACGAAACUUGCCCCGAGAUGAGUUCUCCCUGAGACUUUAGGUCUCCUGAAGGAACGUUGAAGACGACGACGUUGAUAGGCCGGGUGUGUAAGCGCAGCGAUGCGUUGAGCUAACCGGUACUAAUGAACCGUGAGGCUUAACCUU